GGAUUGUAGUCUGCAACCCGACUACAUGAAGCUGGAAUCGCUAGUAAUCGCGGAUCAGAAUGCCGCGGUGAAUACGUUCCCGGGUCUUGUACACACCGCCCGUCACACCAUGGGAGUCGGAAAUGCCCGAAGCCGGUGACUCAACCUUUAAGGAGAGAGCCGUCGAAGGCAGGUCUGAUAACUGGGGUGAAGUCGUAACAAGGUACC
rnacentral:rRNA from 1 species